CCCGCUGAACUUAAGCAUAUCAAUAAGCGGAGGAAAAGAAACUAACAAGGAUUCCCCUAGUAACGGCGAGUGAAGCGGGAAUAGCUCAAAUUUGAAAUCUCACAGGUUUUCCUGUGCGAAUUGUAGUUUAAAGAAACGUUUUCCGGGGCGGCCUGGGUAUAAGUCCUUUGGAAAAAGGCAUCGUAGAGGGUGACAAUCCCGUUUAUGACCCGGUGUCUGCUCCUUUGUGAUACGUUUUCUAAGAGUCAGGUAGUUUGGGAUUGCUGCCUAAAAUGGGUGGUAAAUACCAUCUAAAGCUAAAUAUUGGCGAGAGACCGAUAGCGAACAAGUACCGUGAGGGAAAGAUGAAAAGAACUUUGAAAAGAGAGUUAAACAGUACGUGAAAUUGCCAAAAGGGAAACGCUUGGAACCAGUAUUGUCUCCAGGUAAUCAAGCACACGUUCCGAAAGGGCCGCGUGUGGUGCACUUGCCUGAGGACAGGCCAACAUCAGUUUGGUUUGGGGUAAAAAGCCGGAGAAAGGUAGCUUGGACUUGUCUGAGUGUUAUAGUCUCCGGUCAUGCCUUGCACUGGACUGAGGUCUGCAGCGCCAUUUGGAUACCCGAUUGCCUCCUGAACCACUUUCUUCAGACAGCUUGCUGACUUUGGAAAUGUCUAGGGAGCCCAGUCGGUUUGUCACACCAGCGCUUAGGAUGUUGGCGAAAUGGUUCCAAACGACCCGUCUUGAAACACGG
rnacentral:rRNA from 1 species